rnacentral:rRNA from 1 species
AUUGAACGCUGGCGGCACGCUUAACACAUGCAAGUCGAACGGCAGCAUUUUACUAGCUUGCUAGUAGAGAUGGCGAGUGGCGGACGGGUGAGUAAUGCAUAGGAAUCUGCCCUGGAGUGGGGGAUAACUUGGGGAAACCUGAGCUAAUACCGCAUAUCCUCUGAGGAAGAAAGUUAGGGGUAACUCUGACGCUUUAGGAUGAGCCUAUGUCUGAUUAGCUAGUUGGUUAGGUAAAGGCUGACCAAGGCUAUGAUCGGUAACUGGUCUGAGAGGACGGACAGUCACACUGGGACUGAGACACGGCACAGACUCCUACGGGAGGCGGCAGUGGGGAAUAUUGGACAAUGGGGGCAACCCUGAUCCAGCGAUGCCGCGUGUGUGAAGAAGGCCUGCGGGUUGUAAAGCACUUUUAUUGGGGAAGAGGGAUUUGUGGGUGAAUAGUCCAUGAAUUUGACGGUACCUAAAGAAUAAGCACCGGCUAACUCUGUGCCAGCCGCCGCAGUAAGAC